rnacentral:rRNA from 1 species
AUAGCGUAUAUUAAAGUUGUUGCAGUUAAAAAGCUCGUAGUUGAACUUCGGGGUUUACCCAUUGGUCAGGCUUAAUUGUCUGUACUGGUGAGAUGAAUCUCUACCUUCUGAGGAACUUUCAUGCCAUUUAUUUGGUGUGAUGGGAAAUCAGGACUGUUACUUUGAAAAAAUUAGAGUGUUUAAAGCAGGCUAACGUCUGAAUACAUUAGCAUGGAAUAAUGAAAUAGGACGGACUGAUUCUAUUUCGUUGGUUUCUAGGAUCACCGUAAUGAUUAAUAGGGAUAGUUGGGGGCAUUAGUAUUCAAUUGUCAGAGGUGAAAUUCUUGGAUUUAUUGAAGACUAACUACUG